AUGUGAAAUUGUUGAAAGGGAAGCGUUUGCGACCAGACUCGCCCGCGGGGUUCAGCCGGCAUUCGUGCCGGUGUACUUCCGUGGCGGGCCAGCGUCGGUUUGGGCGGCCGGUCAAAGGCCCUCGGAAUGUAUCCCUCUCGGGGUGUCUUAUAGCCGAUGGUGCAAUGCGGCCGCCUGGAGCAGGAACGGAAGG
rnacentral:rRNA from 1 species